rnacentral:tRNA from 1 species
GGGGUUGUAGCUCAGUGAUAGAGUGCUUGCCUAGCACGUGCAAGAUCCUGGGUUCAAUUCCGAGCACCCAUA